CGUUAUUCGGAAUCAUUGGGCUUAAAGGGCGCGUAGGCGGCGGUGUAAGUUGGAAGUGAAAUCCCAUCGGCUCAACCGUGGAAUUGCUCCCAGUACUGCAUCGCUCGAGGGGGAUAGGGGUUUGCGGAACUACCGGUGGAGCGGUGAAAUGUGUUGAUAUCGGUGGGAACGCCAGUGGCGAAAGCGGCAAACUUGACCCUUCCUGACGCUGAGGCGCGAAAGCUAGGGGAGCAAACGGG
rnacentral:rRNA from 1 species